ACAACUAGGAAGUUGGCUUAGAAGCAGCCAUCUUUUAAAGAGUGCGUAAUAGCUCACUAGUCAAGAGACCUUGCGCCGACAAUGUAACGGGACUAAACAUAAUACCGAAGCUACGGGCAUUAUUAAAUGCGUUAGAGGAGCGUUCUAAGGACGGCGAAGCUAAACCGUGAGGAUUAGUGGAGUGCUUAGAAGUGAGAAUGCCGGUAUGAGUAACGAUUCAGAGUGAGAAUCUCUGACGCCUAUUGGGAAAGGUUUCCUGGGGAAGGUUCGUCCACCCAGGGUUAGUCGGGUCCUAAGAUCAGGCUGAAAAGCGUAGUCGAUGGAUAACAGGUUAAUAUUCCUGUACUUCCGAUAGUAAGUGAUGGAGUGACGGAGAAGGAUAAUUCUACCAAUUAAUGGAUUUUGGGGCAAGGAAAUGAGGGGUCAAUGUAGGCAAAUCCGCAUUGUUUAACCUUGAGUUCUGAUGCAUAGGGAAAGUUUCGACAAUUACCGAAUUGAAUGAUUUCACGCUUCCAAGAAAAGCUUCUAAACGUUAUAAAACUAUAGGAACCCGUACCGAGAACGGACACACGUUCCCAAGAUGAGUAUUCUAAGGCGAGCGAGAAAACCAAUGUUAAGGAACUCUGCAAAUUCACCCCGUAAGUUCGCGAGAAGGGGGGCCAUUCUUUGAAUGGCAACAUUAAAUUGUGAGGGGCAACUGUUUAUCAAAAACACAGCUCUCUGCUAAGUCGCAAGACGAUGUAUAGGGGGUGAAGUCUGCCCAGUGCCCGAAGGUUAAGUGGAGCUGUUAGCUUACGCAAAGCAGCAAAAUGAAGCCCGGGUGAACGGCGGCUGUAACAAUAACGGUCCUAAGGUAGCGAAAUUCCUUGUCGGCUAAAUACUGACCUGCACGAAAGACGCAAUGAUCUCUCAACUGUCUCAACAUUGGACUCGGUGAAAUUAUGGUUCCAGUGAAAACGCUGGAUACCCGCAUCAAAACGAAAAGACCCCGUGGAGCUUUACUACAACUUCGUAUUGGAAUUUGGUUUAACAUGUGUAGGAUAGGUGGGAGAUGGAGAAACGGAGACGCUAGUUUCUGUGGAAUCAACCUUGAAAUACCACCCUUGUUAAAUUGAGUUUCUAACCUAUGACCGUCAUCCGGUCAGGAGACAGUGCGUGGUGGGUAGUUUGACUGGGGCGGUCGCCUCCCAAAAGGUAACGGAGGCGUUCAAAGCUACACUCAAUAUGGUCAGAAACCAUAUGUAGAGCGCAAAGGUAAAAGUGUGGUUGACUGUGAGACCUACAAGUCGAGCAGGUGCGAAAGCAGGACUUAGUGAUCCGGCAGUUCAUUAUGGAAUGGCUGUCGCUCAACGGAUAAAAGCUACCCCGGGGAUAACAGGGUUAUCUUCCCCAAGAGAUCACAUCGACGGGAAGGUUUGCCACCUCGAUGUCGGCUCAUCGCAUCCUGGAGCUGGAGUUGGUUCCAAGGGUUUGGCUGUUCGCCAAUUAAAGCGGUACGCGAGCUGGGUUCAGAACGUCGUGAGACAGUUCGGUCCCUAUUUGAUGUGGGCGUUGGAAUAUUGAUGAGAGCUGCUCUUAGUACGAGAGGACCGGAGUGGACGUACCACUGGUGCUCCAGUUGUUUCGCCAGAAGCAUAGCUGGGUAGCUAAGUACGGAAAGGAUAACCGCUGAAAGCAUCUAAGCGGGAAGCCUCCUCAAAGAUGAGUAUUCCCUUGAAAUUCCUUGUAGACUACGAGGUUGAUAGGCCAGAGGUGUAAU
rnacentral:rRNA from 1 species